rnacentral:rRNA from 1 species
AUUGAACGCUGGCGGCAUGCCUUACACAUGCAAGUCGAACGGCAGCACGGGAGCAAUCCUGGUGGCGAGUGGCGAACGGGUGAGUAAUAUAUCGGAACGUGCCCAGUCGUGGGGGAUAACGUAGCGAAAGCUACGCUAAUACCGCAUACGAUCUAUGGAUGAAAGCGGGGGAUCGCAAGACCUCGCGCGAUUGGAGCGGCCGAUAUCAGAUUAGGUAGUUGGUGAGGUAAAGGCUCACCAAGCCGACGAUCUGUAGCUGGUCUGAGAGGACGACCAGCCACACUGGGACUGAGACACGGCCCAGACUCCUACGGGAGGCAGCAGUGGGGAAUUUUUGGACAAUGGGCGCAAGCCUGAUCCAGCAAUGCCGCGUGCAGGAUGAAGGCCUUCGGUUGGUAACUAG